UCUCCGAUAGAUUUUCUCUCUAUUCUCUCUCCUAAUUUUUUCUCUCUAAAACUACGGCGAAUCAUAACUUUUGAACAUUAACUCUGAAUCAGGAUCCACGAAAAGCUACGGAUUCGUCUUGAUUCACUCUAUUUAUCCAUAGAGGUCUGCGUUAGAUCCAACAAUGUUUUCUAUGAGAGAGGUACUUAGAUUUGACGAGCCAAAAUGGGUUGGAUGAGCCUAGAAUUAAUGAAGAGCCUAGAAGGAAGAGUAUAUUUAUAUUCUACUUUGUAACACUCACACCUCAAAUUCGGCGUUAGGUGCUUAAAAUCCACCAACACCAAGUUCGGGGCGUGACAAAUAUAUACCAGGCAUGGAUACAACAUGAAGCUGGAACAGAACAAGGAACAACUAGGCUUUAAAUGAGUGAUCAGUGAUUGCUUCAUUUCUGUACUUCAACAAUCAACAACCAUAUAUAUAUAUG